AACGAACGCUGGCGGCAUGCCUAACACAUGCAAGUCGAACGAUGCCUUCGGGCAUAGUGGCGCACGGGUGCGUAACGCGUGGGAAUCUGCCUUUCGGUUCGGAAUAACUCAGGGAAACUUGAGCUAAUACCGGAUAACGUCGCAAGACCAAAGAUUUAUCACCGAAAGAUGAGCCCGCGCAGGAUUAGCUAGUUGGUGAGGUAAAGGCUCACCAAGGCGACGAUCCUUAGCUGGUCUGAGAGGAUGAUCAGCCACACUGGGACUGAGACACGGCCCAGACUCCUACGGGAGGCAGCAGUGGGGAAUAUUGGACAAUGGGCGAAAGCCUGAUCCAGCAAUGCCGCGUGAGUGAUGAAGGCCUUAGGGUUGUAAAGCUCUUUUACCCGGGAAGAUAAUGACGGUACCGGGAGAAUAAGCCCCGGCUAACUCCGUG
rnacentral:rRNA from 1 species